GGAGGGGGAUAACUACUGGAAACGGUAGCUAAUACCGCAUAACGUCGCAAGACCAAAGAGGGGGACCUUAGGGCCUCUUGCCAUCGGAUGUGCCCAGAUGGGAUUAGCUAGUAGGUGGGGUAACGGCUCACCUAGGCGACGAUCCCUAGCUGGUCUGAGAGGAUGACCAGCCACACUGGAACUGAGACACGGUCCAGACUCCUACGGGAGGCAGCAGUGGGGAAUAUUGCACAAUGGGCGCAAGCCUGAUGCAGCCAUGCCGCGUGUAUGAAGAAGGCCUUCGGGUUGUAAAGUACUUUCAGCGGGGAGGAAGGGAGUAAAGUUAAUACCUUUGCUCAUUGACGUUACCCGCAGAAGAAGCACCGGCUAACUCCGUGCCAGCAGCCGCGGUAAUACGGAGGGUGCAAGCGUUAAUCGGAAUUACUGGGCGUAAAGCGCACGCAGGCGGUUUGUUAAGUCAGAUGUGAAUCCCCGGGCUCAACCUGGGAACUGCAUCUGAUACUGGCAGGCUUGAGUCUCGUAGAGGGGGGUAGAAUUCCAGGUGUAGCGGUGAAAUGCGUAGAGAUCUGGAGGAAUACCGGUGGCGAAGGCGGCCCCCUGGACGAAGACUGACGCUCAGGUGCGA
rnacentral:rRNA from 1 species